AAUGAACGCUGGCGGCGCGCCUAAUACAUGCAAGUCGAGCGAGAAGACGUAGCAAUACGUUUGUAAAGCGGCGAACGGGUGAGGAAUACAUGGGUAACCUACCCUAGAGUGGGGAAUAACUAGCCGAAAGGUUAGCUAAUACCGCGUACGCUCCUUGGACUUCGGUUCAGGGAGGAAAGCGAUGCCGAGGGUAUCGCGCUCUUGGAUGGGCUCAUGUCCUAUCAGCUUGUUGGGAGGUAACGGCUCACCAAGGCUUCGACGGGUAGCUGGUCUGAGAGGACGAUCAGCCACACUGGCACUGCGACACGGGCCAGGACUCCUACGGGAGGCAGCAGUAAGGAAUAUUGCGCAAUGGGCGAAAGCCUG
rnacentral:rRNA from 1 species